UACGAAGGGGGCUAGCGUUGCUCGGAUUUACUGGGCGUAAAGGGCGCGUAGGCGGACAGUUAAGUUGGGGGUGAAAGCCCGGGGCUCAACCUCGGAAUUGCCUUCAAUACUGGCUGUCUUGAGUGUGAGAGAGGUGUGUGGAACUCCGAGUGUAGAGGUGAAAUUCGUAGAUAUUCGGAAGAACACCAGUGGCGAAGGCGACACACUGGC
rnacentral:rRNA from 1 species